UAAAACUGUGAAAAGUGAAAACACCCGACAAAUCGUAAUCCCUCUCUCUCCCAAGCCGCGCCGCCCUCUCUCCAGAGACCACAGCCAUCGCGUAUGUGUCGUUGACUCCGCCAUUCUCUCCCCAACGUCCCACGGAUCUCCAACCGUCACGACGCAGCCACCGCCGAGCGCCAUGACGGGUUCCCCACUCGCGACGCGUGAUCUCUUUCUCCACCGCGACUCCCCCACUCGCGAGGUGAGACAUCCGCGGCUCCACGUGCAGAGCCACCCCCAACACCACCGCAAGUCCCCCACUCACGACGACGAAAACCCUAGGCCAAAACAGCGCUCGCAAGUCGCGUCUCUGCGCCGCAAGCAACGCAGCCGCAAGAAGAUUAAGCAAAGAGCUUGAGAGUGAAAAGGUAGCUCGAGAAGACGCAUGGGCUAAAGUUUCUAUUCUUGAGCUUGAGAUAAAUGCCGCAAUGCGGGAUCUAGAUUUUGAGAGGAGGAGGGAGGUUAAGAGGUGCCAGGGAAAGACUUAUGCUUCGGGAAACACAACAGACAUUUUAUUCCACUACGGAGGAGAUACAAGUACUCUUUGCUGAGCAACAAGAGCAAUUAAAGGCUAUGCAGAGAACUCUUGAAGACGAAGAGAAUUAUGAGAAUACUUCUAUAGAUAUGGAUGGAGUGAUUGGUGGAACCCCUGGAAGAGAGAGAGAAGUUGCAGGAUACCAUGGCAAAAAUGCUGCAAAGGCAGGAUCGACUGCAUCUACACAGAAGCGCAACAGAGAUCAAGAAGAAACCUCAAGCAAUGAAGCUAGUGUCACUGAGAAGCAUGUGAGGUGAAAAGUCAAGAAUGCCAAAAUACACAAGAGUUCACCAGUGCAGAUCAUGACCAUGAUGUAAGAGGUGGCUUUGGUUCUGAUAUUGAUGGUGCUGGCACAACAGAUGUGGUGGAUGGAGGGGCUGGCGGUACUGAGUGAGUUCCGAGAACUAAAAGUCCUUCAAAUUAUGGCAUAAAGCAUGUUGAUUUGAAUAAAUCUGGUGGCUGAGAGUCAGAACACUCAUUCUGACGAUGCUGCCGCUAGACAGAAUGAGCGGCAAGCACUCCGGGAUAUGAUUGGCAUUGUUGCUCCUGAUUUGAGGGAGAAAUUUGGUGGUUCUGCAUAUAAUUGUGGUGAAAUGAAAGAGAAAGAUGGCAGUUCCACUGACUCGGACACGCAGAGUUGUAGCAACAGUGGAAAUAAAGGUAGAAUCAAUUCAGAGGGUGGAGCUAUGUCUGAUGAAGAAACUCAGUGUUGUGACCAUGUUGAAGAGAAUGAAAAGCAUGAUGAUGCCAUGGAUGAAGGUGAUGUUGAAGCUACUAAGGAAGAUUGAAUCUCUUGUAUAAAAUAUAAGUCAGGAAACUGUACAUAUUUACAUGGGUUUCUGAAGACAUCUCAUCUCAUCUCAUGUAUAUAAAGUGGUUGAUUACCCCUUGCGGUUGGGCAUCUUAAUGAUCUUAUGUUUUUGUUUAUUAUUAUUUGUCAUUCACUAGAAUCGGUUUUCUUUGCGGAAUAGUGUUUUAUUUUGUAUUUUUUUUAAUUUACUUUUUUUAAGUAUAGAUAGUGUAUUACUGUGUACAACAACAACAACAAAGUCUUAUCCCACUAGAUGGGGUUGACUACAUGGAUCAAACGACGUCAUUGAGUUUUAUCAUGUAUCAUAUCUAUAGAAAGACUGUUUAUAUGCA